GAUAAGACGCAGCGAAAUGCGAUAAGUAAUGUGAAUUGCAGAAUUCAGUGAAUCAUCGAAUCUUUGAACGCACCUUGCGCUCUUUGGUAUUCCGAAGAGCAUGCCUGUUUGAGUGUCAUGAAAAUAUCAACCUUGACUUGGGUUUUGUGCUCUAGUCUCGGCUUGGAAUUGGGUGCUUGCCGCUUUUACGAGCGGCUCACCUUAAAUGUAUUAGCUGGAUCUGUCUUUGAGACUUGGUUUGACUUGGCGUAAUAAGUAUUUCGCUAAGGACAUUCUUCGGAGUGGCCUCGUUUCUAGGACGCUUGUCCGCUUUCCAAUACAAGUUCCACCUCGUGGACAUGACUUUUUAUUAUCUGGCCUCAAAUCAGGUAGGACUACCCGCUGAACUUAAGCAUAUCAAUAAGCGGAGGA
rnacentral:misc_RNA from 1 species